rnacentral:lncRNA from 1 species
AAAGAGAGAGAGAGAGGCAGAGACACAGGCAGAGGGAGAAGCAGGCUCCAUGCAGGGAGUCCUAUGCGGCACUCAAUCCCGGGUCCCCAGGAUCAGGCCCUGGGCUGAAGGCACCCAGGCUGCCCAUAUAUUGAGUUUUUAGUGAAAAAAAUUACUACUUGAAAAAAUUUGUAUUUUCUUUUUUGCUUGUAAAGGCCAGAGAAGAUUAUGUCUCAGAGGACAAUCACCAUGAGAAGACCAUAUAAAAAAAAACAAGUGAAAUAAAGUGACUUGGUGAUUGGUUCAGCCAUCGACUUCUCAUACAUCACUAAAGAAAGAUUGAACUCAGUUGUGUAUAUUUAUUUGAAUGACAAUCAUUUAUUAAAAAAACAGCCUCUUGUAAAAGACCUGGUCCCUAACUCAUGAGUUUUCUCUAAUGAGAAAAGAAGUCAGAUUGCCAGAAAUGUUUCCCACACUGAGACUGCUGUGUCCUUUGGACAAGAACAUUCAAGACAACUUCAGUGUCAUGACUGUAAUCUGUGUACAACUAACAUCCAAAAUAAAGUAGAUGGCCAUUCUGGC